rnacentral:rRNA from 1 species
ACGGGGGGUGCAAGCGUUAUCCGGAUUCACUGGGUUUAAAGGGUGCGUAGGUGGGUUGGUAAGUCAGUGGUGAAAUCUCCGGGCUUAACUCGGAAACUGCCAUUGAUACUAUUAAUCUUGAAUAUUGUGGAGGUCAGCGGAAUAUGUCAUGUAGCGGUGAAAUGCUUAGAGAUGACAUAGAACACCAAUUGCGAAGGCAGCUCGCUACACGAAUAUUGACUCUGAGGCACGAAAGCGUGGGGAUCAAACAGGA